CUCGUGCGCAUCGACCCGGAUCCCCAUCUUGGUCUCUCGUGCGGAGCGGCUAGGGCUCCGCUGCUCUACCGCCACCAUAGGACCACCCUUCGCCGCCUCCCACCUCCACUCCUGCUGUCGCUCCUUCGCACCGCGUUCCGCCACAGCCACACAACAUGAGGAUGUGCAGCGCAAGGCGGCAGGGGCAACACCCUCCUCCUGUCGUUCCCCGUCCUCAGGAAUGACGUCUGGCUCCUCCACGACGCGCCGCCGCCGCUGGCGACGCCAUGGAACCCCGUCCUCUCCAAGAGCCGCCUCUCACUGGCGGCCAUCAGCAACGCCUUCACAGAUUUCCGCGACUCGGGGCCGUCUAUCAGGACUCCCGAUGGCGUCGCCGCAUACGAGCCUGAGGAUAUCGACUUCCAUGACGGACGCGGCGGCGCGCGAGUGCUUAAGGAAGAUGCUCGUGUUGGCGCCGGUGCCCUGCUUCGUCCUCUUGCCCCUUUCACUUCCUCCCCGGCACCGGUAAAGUCACAAUCGCCAUCACCUGCCUCCCCUGCCUCAAACGUGGUAGUCACACUGCCGGCUAAAAGCUGUUGCAAUAGGGAGAAAAGUGAAGAUAUACAGGUACAGCUCUCAACCCUUGGAUUUCUUUGUAUAUUUCUAUGACCAAUUUCUUCUGUACAUUUCUAGAUCUGUCUCGAAUGCAUUCUGGUUGUUAAAUAUAAGUAGCAUCAUUUUGUAGACUGGCCAUGUCCGCAUACCCCAGUUGGUCAGUGUUGCUUUUCUUUCUUUGUAUCAGUGUGCUCUUUUAAUUUCGAUUGCAUGGAUCAAUCAUUCACCAGGUAUGUUGUCUUGGUAAGCAUUUGUACAUCAUAUGCAUUGUUUCUGUUCUUAAUAUAAUUCAAUUUGUCUAAUUGAUUUGGUGGGUCCUUCUAUUUUUUUUUUGUUAGGCACUUGUAGCCUGCUGCAGGAUAGCGGCGCAUGGAUGGAGGCAGCUAUGUGGAGAUUCCGGAGGGGGUCCCAAGAGCUGAGGACCGAAUGCUACUUUUGAUGCCUACUGCUACAUCCGCUGAAGUUGCAGGAGGAAGUUUCUGCCGAGUUUCAUGAGUCUCCUCUCAUUACCAGAGAUGUUGUUCUCACCGAUUACUGUAUAUUGUGCCGUGCGGUCACAAUUUUGUUAGCUUGUGUGAAGCUGUUCUCGCCGAAUACUGAUGGGAAGUGGCUAUCCUUGAGUAGCUGCAUGGUGCUAUUGUUAUCUGUGAAUAUUUGGGAGCUAUCUUGGGUUGUUGUUCUUUUUCCGUAUCACGAAGGAUGACGGUGGGGUGGGAGGAAGAGGAGGCUGUGCCGGAGUAUGACGAGGAGGAAUUGACAAAGUUCAGUAUGUUGAAUAAAUACAAGCAUGAAGAUUGUGCGGCCACCUUGAGCUCGGCCUCCCUUCCUGGACUCUGGCAGCUCUGAUCCCGCUGCUGAGGUCGUGUGCUAUGCUUUCUUGCUGCUACACCGGUGACCCUGGCUUGCUUCUGUAGGUUGGGCAACAUCAGUAAUGGUAAUGAGCAAACUCUGAGAGUGUAUGCGUGUCACUCGUUUCAUCUCUUUUGUGCGUGAGUUUUUCCUGUCUCAUUUGUGUGAAGCUGCUUCACGCAUGUGGAAGUACAAGUCAAGGUUUCUACCUUAUCCAGAAAAUGGUCUCAAAAGGCAAUCAACUGUUCUUAUUACUUUA